UGAGGGGUAUAUUUGAACCCAAAGUAUGACUGCAGGGGUAUAGAUAACCCAAUAGUAUAAGAGGGCUUUUCUUAGACAAUUUUUAAAAAUAAAAAGGUAUAUUUGGCCCUUUGAUGUUAAAAAAACCCGUAUCUGUUCCAUGUGAUCAAGAAUUGAAAUCAUUGAAUCAAAAUCGACAACACAGUCUUUGACUUGUUAAGCCAAACAGAUAAGCUACACAGUGCAUUCAAUGUUGACAGCAAACGUUAAAUAAAUUCAAUAACCGCAUAGCAUUGAAUUGGUCAUAUUAAAGAAGAACCAAACGUUUAGCCGUUCUACAAAAUAUGGAAAACAAAAUACUAAUCAAUUUCAAGAAUAAUUUGUAGGCAAAGGAGACAAAUUUAACGAGAUAAAAUAAAUCUAAUUUAUUCUCUCACCACAGAAAUAAAUUUACAUAAAAGAAUUACUACAAAAUAGGGAGAUGAAUUUAUACAAGGUGUAUUCUAACAAGGAAUUUGCUCAGUAAACCACUUCAUAACCGAAAAGGGUGCUUUGAUUAAUCCCAAAGCCAGCUCUACCAAUACUGUUACGCAAAUACAGCAUGGACAUAUGCAACUCAAGAUAAUUCUGCAAAAAAUAAAAGAAUAAUAAUUAAUACAGAAAUCUUGGUUUAUUUAUACCCAAAUCAAGAAGAAUUAUAUCAAAAAAUAAGUUAUAAAUAGUUAAUCUUGUAUUUGUUCACUAAUCACUAUAUUAAACACCUCUAGUUAGUGGUGGAGCCAAAAGAAUUCCAAGAAAACAAAUUGCAAGAAUAUCACACUUAGAAUUUAAACUUGUAACUUUAAAGUAAUUCUUGAAUGACCUUUGUUGUUGCACUAAAAGUUCCUUUAUGUCAUGAAAAUUCAGCAAUUCAUAUACAUAAGAAAAAGGAAGCCUGGUUCACAAAACAUAACAUGUUUAAGGGAUACGAUGUACACAGCCUACCCUAAUACAAGUAUUUAGUGACGGACGGCUCGAAUUCGUAACCUCACGCGAAAACAACAACUUUACUUUUUGGAACUGCCCUUCAAUUCAUUUACAAACAUAGUUUAAUUUAUUUUUAUUUACACAUUAUAAUUUUAUGACGAACUAGAUCUAAUUCUAACUUUGAUCAAAUGGAAGAAAAUUAGAUGGAAAGAGGAGAGAAAUUGAACUUACCCAACAAUCCAAAUAACAACACCAACGAUGGAGAGGAGAAGGGCGACAAAGGCAAAAGGAAGACCCAAUAGAAAACCUAAAGGACGACAUUGACAAUCAUCUCCACAACAACACAUGAUUUCUUUUCUUUUUCUUUCUUUCUUUC
rnacentral:lncRNA from 1 species